UGCAGCCACCUUGAUAGUGUGAUGUCCAUCUCUUCUGGCUCUAAUAGGACAAAUCUGCAGACUCCUGUGAGAUUGAACCCUGGCAGGUGUACAGAAAACCUUUGGUGUUUAAUGUCCUGGUCCUGGAUGCAGCCACCUUGAUAGUGUGAUGUCCAUCUCUUCUGGCUCUAAUAGGACAAAUCUGCAGACUCCUGUGAGAUUGAACCCUGGCAGGUGUACAGAAAACCUUUGGUGUUUAAUGUCCUG